rfam:Fukomys damarensis contig119239, whole genome shotgun sequence.
UAGGGUGUAGCUCAGUGGUACAGUCUGUGCUUAGCAUGCACAAGGUCCUGGGUUCAAUCCUUAGCAUCAAAA